UGGGAAUUUUUGAAUUUAGAAGGUACUGAUUCGGAAUCUGACAACUCACAGGAGUCUGAUCAAGGAUAUGAACCUUCAGAUGUAGAGCCUGUUUCGUCAGACGAGGAAGAUGAUGAAAGUGCAUCACUAGUUGAGUCGGAGGAUGAUGAAGGAGAGGACUCUGAGGAAUAUUCAGAAGAAGAAGGGAAAACAUGGGAAGAGCUGGAAAGAGAAGCAAGCAAUGCCGACAGAGAGAAAGGAGCUGAAUCAGACAGUGACAAUGAUAGGAAGAGGAGGAAUAUGAAGGCUUUUGGGAAAGGUCGUCCUCCAGAGAGAAGAAAUCUCUCUAGCAACAUUUCCAAGAGAC
rnacentral:lncRNA from 1 species